rnacentral:rRNA from 1 species
GACGAACGCUGGCGGCGUGCUUAACACAUGCAAGUCGAACGAAGUGGCGAACGGGUGAGUAACGCGUAAUCAACCUGCCCUUCAGAGGGGGAUAACAGUGGGAAACGACUGCUAAUCCCGCAUACUGAAGGAGGGGAUUGUGUCUGAUUAGUUCGCUGGGGGGGGAACGGCCCACCAAGGCGAUGAUCAGUAGCCGGGCUGAGAGGAUGAACGGCCACAUUGGGACUGAGACACGGCUCAGACUCCUACGGUAGGCAGCAGUGGGGAAUCUUCCGCAAUGGACGAAAGUCUGACGGAGCAACGCCGCGGGAGUGAUGACGGCCUUCGGGUUGUAAAGCUCUGUUAAUCGGGACGCGGUACCGGAAUAGAAAGCCACGGCUAACUACGUGCCAGCAGCCGCGGUAAUUC